GCCACCUCAACGUGGCCUGACGAGCGGUGCCAUGUCCGCGCCCAGGAUCCAAGCCCUGGGCCCCCGCAGCGGAGUGCACGAACUUAACCACUCGGCCACGGAGCCGGCCCCUCCAGGAUGUUUUUCAUGCUGACCUGGAACUCCCAGAGGAUCAAGACAGUCUUUAUAUUGGCAUUAUCUGUCUUAAAGCAGCAUUCAUCUUUACGAACAACUUGAAUGAAGGCAGAAAGCAAGAUGGCGAGACACUCUGAGUCUAUCCCUAUUUAUCAAUGCCUAGAAAUAACAUGAGGAUUUCAUGCUUUCCCCACCUGCUGCUUGCCAUAGAAGAUGAGAAAGCUGAGGUUUGGAGAGAAAAAUGAAAUGCUAUCAAGCAACAUAAAAGGAGUUAAAAACUAGACAGUCUGACUCUGAAGCCAAAACUGUUAGCCCUUAUGUACAAAUGCCUCUGAGAGCUACAUGACUCUGAAAGCUCCGUGCUUGACCCUGGAAGCCAUUUCAUGUGACUUCCGUCCAAAGACAUGAGAAAUGGCUAGAAGGAAGGAAACUACAUAGCCAUAAUGACUUCUAAGAAUUCAACAAUCAUCACUGUUUUAUGGAUUUGUGUCCUAUGGCUGGUGGACUAGCAAACACACCUCACUCAUAAAAUAUGGAUUAUCUGAAAACUCAUUCUGUCUCACCUUUUACUUGACAUUAAAAAAAUGAACAAUGUACAAUGAUUUUUGGUUUUCAAACCAUUUUCACAUAUGUUAUUUGUUCCUCAUGAAAGUUGAAUAGAACUGGUAUUAUCACAACCCCACUUUUCAUAUGUGGAAGCAGAGUCUUAGAAUGCCUUUAAGACUUGCCUAAAGAUAGGUUAAAGUGCGAACUUUCUGACUUGAAUCAUUGGCUCAGAGUUGAAGGGGAGUGAAAGAGACUGGAAAAGAACCUGGACCGAAGUUCCUAGGUAGAGGAAAACAGGAGACAGUGCUGCUUACAGUAUCCUCCCAACUGUCUCACCCUACAGGGGCCACUGAAAAUCUCUGGGAAAAGAGAAACAACAGCAGUAACUAGCAACCUCUUUUCAUGAGUACCAAUAAAGUAAGACCUGAGCUGCUUCCUGGCCCUGCGGAAAUUCAGCAGGACUAUGGAAGUGAGAAUGAGGGAGAGGAGGUAAGGACUCUAAGGACACCUGUUAAGGAAUCAGCUGGACCUCAGUUGAAAACCCAGCUGUGCCACCUGACAGCUGUGUGAUUUUAGGCAAAUGAUUUCCUCUUUCUGUGCCUCCCUUUCUUGAGGAAUAAAUGAGAGUAUCUCCCUCAUAAACUCGUUGUAAGAAUCAAACAUAGUAGUGCUCAUAAAGCACAGGCAGGGCAGAGUCUCUGGAACAAAGCUAGCUACAACUAUGGGUGAUUGUGAACAAAUCAUUUCAUCCCAUUGGGCCUCAAUUUCUUUAUGUAUAAAAUAAGGUGGUUGGACUAGAUGAAUUCCAAUUUUUUUGCUUCAAGCUCUAUACGUGAUGUAUGGCUGUAUUCCUUGGAAUAGAGUGAGGUGGGAUUGUUAAAGAUUUAUAGAGUGACAUGUCACUGAUAUAUGUUAAAGUGGGUAGAGAACCUUGUGAAUGAGUAGAAGGUGGCUGCGGUUAUUGCAUCUCAUUGAUGAUAAGGAUAAUAUUUUUAAAAGCUAUCUUUUAUUGAGCACCUGCUAAAAUAUGUUAUCUCAUUCAUUCCCCAUGAAAACCCUAUGAAGCAGGUAAUAUUAGCUCAUUUUACAUAUUUGGGGGGAUAUGAGCUCAAAUAGGUUAACUGUCUUGUGUAAAGCCACCCAUAUCGUCCAUGGUGGAUCAAAUUGUGUUCCCUCUGAGUCUGGCUCUCAUUCCCUUUGCAGUGUCCUGUCCUGGCGCUAUUCAUUAAAAUA